GAUGAACGCUGGCGGCGUGCCUAAUACAUGCAAGUCGAGCGAAUGGAUUAAGAGCUUGCUCUUAUGAAGUUAGCGGCGGACGGGUGAGUAACACGUGGGUAACCUGCCCAUAAGACUGGGAUAACUCCGGGAAACCGGGGCUAAUACCGGAUAACAUUUUGAACCGCAUGGUUCGAAAUUGAAAGGCGGCUUCGGCUGUCACUUAUGGAUGGACCCGCGUCGCAUUAGCUAGUUGGUGAGGUAACGGCUCACCAAGGCAACGCUGCGUAGCCGACCUGAGAGGGUGAUCGGCCACACUGGGACUGAGACACGGCCCAGACUCCUACGGGAGGCAGCAGUAGGGAAUCUUCCGCAAUGGACGAAAGUCUGACGGAGCAACGCCGCGUGAGUGAUGAAGGCUUUCGGGUCGUAAAACUCUGUUGUUAGGGAAGAACAAGUGCUAGUUGAAUAAGCUGGCGCCUUGACGGUUCCUAACCUGAAAGCCACGGCUAACUACGUGCCAGCCGCCGCAGUAA
rnacentral:rRNA from 1 species